GCUUGAAACACAGGUUCCCGUUCGAUCACUGAAGUUAAGAAACGUCGAGCUUGGUCACUAUCUAGGUGGGUGACCAUUUCAAAAUAUCAGGUGCUGCAA